rnacentral:rRNA from 1 species
GAGGGGCCCGCGGCCCAUUAGCUAGUUGGCGGGGUAAUGGCCCACCAAGGCAACGAUGGGUAGCCGGCCUGAGAGGGCGAUCGGCCACAUUGGAACUGAGACACGGUCCAGACUCCUACGGGAGGCAGCAGUGAGGAAUCUUGCGCAAUGGGCGAAAGCCCGACGCAGCAACGCCGCGUGGGUGAUGAAGGCCUUCGGGUCGUAAAACCCUGUCGGGUGGGAAGAAUCGGAUGGGGGUUAAUAACCCUCCUUCCUGACUGUACCACCAAAGGAAGCCCCGGCUAACUCCGUGCCAGCAGCCGCGGUAAUACGGAGGGGGCCAGCGUUGUUCGGAAUCAUUGGGCGUAAAGGGCGUGUAGGCGGCCGAGUAAGUCUGACGUGAAAUCCCUUGGCUCAACCAAGGAAUUGCGUCUUAAACUGCUCGGCUUGAGUCCGGGAGAGGGUAGUGGAAUUCCCAGUGUAGCGGUGAAAUGCGUAGAUAUUGGGAGG